rnacentral:lncRNA from 1 species
UGGGAUCAGAUACAUUAUUUUUUGUAUGAAAUUAAAAAUAGUAUAUCUAAUAGAAGGAUGGGUCAAAAUCAUUCAAAAUUUAAUAAAAAUCUUUGCAUUAUACCCAAAUAGACAUUUAUGUCACUUUUUUUCUAUUUUAGAGAUUUUUUUUAUAUUUUUAAUUUAUUUAGCAUUUAGAUACGUUAAUAUUUUUUUUAUUUUCUCCGAGUUUUUCCAUUUCCACCAAAAUAUGAUGGAUCCUUCAAGUAUUUUUUGAUAUUUAAGCUUCUAAC